CUGUAGCUCAGUCGAAUAGAGCGUCGGUCUCCGAAGCCGAAGGUCACGGGUUUGAAUCCCGUCAG
rnacentral:tRNA from 1 species